GUUAUUUUGGCAGAAUUUAAGUGCGAUUGAUUUAGAAUCUUUAUAUAUAGUUAUUCUAUAAAUAACA
rnacentral:tRNA from 1 species